rnacentral:rRNA from 1 species
ACUGCUGCGCAGCUGAUCAGCAUGCCGCGUGCAGGAUGAAGGCCUUCGGGUUGUAAACUGCUUUUGUACGGAACGAAAAGCCCUGGGUUAAUACCCUGGGGUCAUGACGGUACCGUAAGAAUAAGCACCGGCUAACUACGUGCCAGCAGCCGCGGUAAUA